rnacentral:rRNA from 1 species
GAUGAACGCUGGCGGCGUGCCUAAUACAUGCAAGUCGAGCGAACGGACGAGAAGCUUGCUUCUCUGAUGUUAGCGGCGGACGGGUGAGUAACACGUGGAUAACCUACCUAUAAGACUGGGAUAACUUCGGGAAACCGUAGCUAAUACCGGAUAAUAUUUUGAACCGCAUGGUUCAAAAGUGAAAGACGGUCUUGCUGUCACUUAUAGAUGGAUCCGCGCUGCAUUAGCUAGUUGGUAAGGUAACGGCUUACCAAGGCAACGAUGCAUAGCCGACCUGAGAGGGUGAUCGGCCACACUGGAACUGGGACACGGUCCAGACUCCUACGGGAGGCAGCAGGAGGGAAUCUUCCGCAAUGGGCGAAAGCCUGACGGAGCAACGCCGCGUGAGUGAUGAAGGUCUUCGGAUCGUAAAACUCUGUUAUUAGGGAAGAACAUAUGUGUAAGUAACUGUGCACAUCUUGACGGUACCUAAUCAGAAAGCCACGGCUAACUACGUG